UACAGGGGGUGCAAACGUUGCUCGGAAUCAUUGGGCGUAAAGCGCACGUAGGCGGUCUGUUAUGUCGGAUGUGAAAGCCCUUGGCUCAACUGAGGAAGUGCAUCCGAAACUGGCAGGCUAGAGUACUAAAGAGGGUCGCGGAAUUCCCGGUGUAGAGGUGAAAUUCGUAGAUAUCGGGAGGAACACCAGUGGCGAAGGCGGCUUCCUGGCCUGUUCUUGACGCUGAGGCGCGAAAGCUAGGGGAGCAAACGGG
rnacentral:rRNA from 1 species